GAGAGAGAGAGGAAAUAUAACCAACUACGUACUAUAGAAAAAAUGCCCAGAAAAUUCCAUAUAACUUCCAAUAAAGCAUUAUGAAAGUAGUGUAUAGGUAAGAUCUUGUAUCCCUUCUCUGAGGUGUGGCGGCCAUUGUUUCCGACUCCUGCUCCGGUCUGCGGUGAUUAAGGAAAGGGAUUGUUCAAGCAGGGAUUCGGAACUGUGACCAGCCAGUGCGCAUUCUUGGUAAAUACGUCACAGCCAAUGAGAAAAUAGUCAAAAAUAAUCCACCAAUCACAUCCCUUUAUGUAGUAACCAAGCUAGGAAGGCAGUGUAGAUAUCAAGACGAGGCGAACCCGACGGAGAAGAAAAUGAAGAGAAAGCAGUGAUUAGGGACUAAAUAUAUCUGAAAGUGAAGAAAAUGAAGAGAAUAGAGUGAAUACAAGAUGAACCUAGAAACCUGAUAGUGUACAAAAGAAAGGAAAGUGCAAAACUUCCGAAUAACAAUAACAAGACUUUAUAUCAUUCUGCCGCCAUGGCCGCCACCUGUGAGCUGCGUUCCUCGUCGCCCACUGAAAGAAGAGCCGCUUUUCAGAAACAGUACUGCAGUUAGCUGAAGUAUCGUCGUGUUGCUGUUGCAAAUAUAGUGUGCUACGCUCUAUAAGUGUAAUUUUAGAGAUGAAGGAAUGUGGCGAUACACAAACAUGUCACUAGCAUGGUCCGUAACAAGAGAAGGUCGUUACUGCGAUUGUAAAUAAGGACAGGCGACGGAAGGAAAGGCUGGAUCCUACGUUCGAGAAUAAGGCUACUAGGAGGGCGCUAUGGGCCCCGCGACUCCCCUGCAGGACACUGACACGGCCUCAAUCAUCGGGUCAGCGUCGAACAGGUCAUCUCCAUGUUCCCAGCAGAUUCAAAAUAUUAUCGGGAACUCUACAUACAAUGCCUGGUGGUGGUGACAGGGAAGUCUGAAGGAAGAGAUGACAAGUUUGAGGACACUAGACAGAUGAAGAAGGAAAGGAACAAGCAAGGAAGGAAUUAAAAGACAAGUUUCUCUCAUUUUAUUUUGUUCUGAAGUAUUGAUCUGCUUCAGAAGCUUGAAUAUAGUACUUGUUGAAUGUUAUAGCAGUAAUAAUGCAUAUCAUUUUUUCUUUGUUUUUUCUAUUUGUUACAUAUGAGACCUAUUAUUUGAGAAUUUAUUUCUUAAUGGUAUAAAAGAAUUUAAAAUAUAUUUUUCCAUUUUCCAGUUCCAAGAACCCAAACAGUGAAGAAGGACAUGCAACCAUAGAAUGAGUAUGCUUCAACAGUUCUUGACAGAUGAUGUGACAGCAGGAGCCACUGCUUUUUAUUGCGAAGCCCAACAAAAGCCAACCUCUCUCUUAAAUGAAUUCAAGCCAUAAAAAGAUGGAAAAAUAGAAGCAGACAGAAUUUCAGAGAUUACUGAAGAUGAAGGAUAGAGAGUACUAGUUAACUCUUCUAUUACAGAGGUGGAUCUAUUACAGAGGUGGAUGGAAUACGAGUGAGAGAAAGUUGAAAGCUUUGUGCAGUGAGGCAUGCUGUUAGUAUAAUCAGAAGAGCCAUUGCCAAGAAAAUAGCAGUAGAAGAUAAUAAGUUACAACUUUGUGUCAGUGAGAGAGACAACAUAGUCAGUUAGAAGAGAGGAGCUGAGACGAAAAGCUUUUUUUAAUUCUAAUCUGUCUAAAAGAACUGUAUGAGUGGAACCACUCCAUACAUGGACAGAUAAGAUACCUGUACAGAGUUAGCAGUUGGGAGGGUGAGAAAAAAAAAAUGUCAGAAACAGUUGUUUCAGAGAUGAGAUGUGGAGUUUCCAGUUAAAUUAAAGUAAAGGACAGAUUAUGUAUGUUAAUUGUAGAAGAGGGAGAGAGAUAAUUGCACCCUGUAUCUUUUCACAUCUUUCCAUCACUGCUCAAAAAUACAUUUCCUCCAUCAAUCAACACAACCUUCCAGACAAUUGCACCCUCUUCUACAUUAAACAUCUUCAUCUCUACUUAUUAUAUAAACUGGAAACUUCACAUCUGAUCUCUAGCUGAAACAGCUUCUGAUAAGUUUUUCUCACACACCAACUGUACAGGGGACCUUAUCUGUCCCUGUAUGGAAUAUGCUUCCCAUGCAUGUAAGGGGGAGGUUGCAAAUAUACUGUUCUUUUAAGUUAAGGUGGAAUUAAAACAUUUUUGCUUCAUCAACUCUCUCUGUCUGUCUUCAACCUCUUUUUAUUGCCACAAUGUUGCAUCUCUUACUAUCUUCUGCUAAUUUCAUACCAACUACUCCUCUGAUCUUGUUAGCUGCAUGCCUCCUAUCCUCAGCCAGCCUCACUGCACACCUUUUCCUUUCACCCCCUAAUCUGUUCACCUCUCCAAUACUAGAGUUCACCUGUAGUAUUUGUCAACCAUUCAUGCCUUUAACUGUAAACUCUGAAAUUCCCAACCCACUUCUGUUUUUCCAUCUUCCUACAACUUAAAUUCAUUGAAGGUGAUUUCAAGACAAUCCCCAUAUUUUAGACUAAUGCUUUUGACCCUGUUUGGGAACCAGCCUUUGUUUUUAUAAUUGCAAUUUUUUUUGUUGCCCUUGGCCAUUUACUGAUUACCAGGACACUCUUAACUCACACUAAAAACAACAGGAGUGGCUUGCCUAAGGAACUUCCUGAAUUUCACUGCCAGAAUUGGACCACCAUCCUGCCUUAGCUGGCUACAAAAGGAGACAACAAAAGUAACCUGCAAAUAACCUAAAAUAUUGGAAAAGAGGCCUAAAAAAAAAUUCAGUCAAAAAUACUCUAACUACUCCCAAGAUUUUGUAGUAGUGUAUCAAUUAUUUCAAUAAACAGGACUGGUUCCCAAACAGUUUGUACAUUACAAAGUCUCCAGAGUCUUCUGAGUAUUUUUUACUUUGAAAAAAGUUUUAGGCCCUUUUCUAAUAUUUUAAGCCAUUUGUGGAUCACUUUCAUUGUCUUGUCCAGUAGUAGUGAGCUAAGGAGAGUGUCCUGCCUGAAGUACAGUUUUUUUCAAAUAUUUUAGGCCAUUUGUGAUUGUCGUCUUCAGUAGUGAGCUUAGGAAAGUGUCCUGGCAGGCAGGAUGCUGGUCCAAUUCAUGUAGUGAAAUUCAGGAUGCUAUUGAAUCCAGACUGCAGUUUCUUAGGCUAGCCACUCCCAUCGCCUCUUCAGUGUCAGCAGGAUACACUGGCCCAAGUAGUAUAUGAAAACUCAGGAAGCUGUUGAUCAGACCUCAGUUUCUUAUGCCAAUGGGAGCCAGUUUUAUUGUCCUCUCCAGUGGUGAGCUAGGGAAAGCAUCCUCGACAGGCAGGGAACUCAGGAGACAGGUGAAACCUCACUACACCAAUGGAGACAGUGCUAGUGGUACAUUUUUCUUGCCCCAUCUUAAGCCUAUUGAGGAAGACACAAGAAUACAGAUUAACUAACAAUCCACAAGAAUCUAGAUUCCUGAAAGCUAUUAAGCAGCUAAAAAAUACAUAUUGUGUUCCUUCCUUUGGCAUUCUUGCAGGUUUUCACCACAUGAGGGCACAACAAAACACUGCACUACAACUUCCAGUCCAUAUUCCUUCAGUGAAAGAGGAACAAGAUGACAGUACUUACACAAGAUGCGGUCAGGCAAGAAUGGCUGCCUGGGGUAAGAGAACUUCCAAGUGUAUGCAGAGGAAUGUCACAACUGGCAAGAACUCACAUUCCUGUGUCAGGCUGCUAUUCUGGCUGCUACAGGUUGGUGGACUGCCCUUCAGCCAUGGCGAGAGUGUACAACCCAUACGCAAUGGCAGCCUGCACUAAUAUACCAGAAAGCAUUUCGUCAUUCUCUGCAGGACAACCGACAUUGCAUCAAGUAUGAAGAGUUGCUUCUCUGCAUGCCACCUGAGCCAGGUAGAUGAACAGUGACAACCUUCCCGAGGCAUUGUAAUCUGGAGUUGUCCAACUCAAGUGUGUAGCCAUUGAGUUUGGAGAUGAGAGGAUGAUAGUCUGUGACAUGCUCAAAAGGUGCCUUUAUAGUAGUAAGAACACUUGUGCAUUACCUAAACCAUGACCAGCAUCUACAGCUCUAUUGUGGUGUACCACAUCUCAGAAUGCAUGAGAAACCAUGAGCCACAUUGCAUUUGCCUCCCCUGUGGUUCUGCAACAAGACAUAACCAAUGCUGUAGAGGUGUGAGACAUCAGUCUACAGGAUGGUGGGUAAAUGUGUGUCAAACAUUACCAGUACUGGUGGACCAGCAAGGGACAACUUGAUUCACUAGAAUGCAGUAUUAUGGCUGCAUGUUCAUGUCAAGACAUUGUGGACUCGGUAAUGGAUUUGCUGCAGAGAUGUCAGGCGAAAACUUAACAAAACUCACCAUAAAAUGACCAAAGGUCUGUGAUGCACUGACAAGGCAUACAGUGAAAUUUUACUAUUAAAUUAAUUAUAAAUGUAAUACAGUUCUUCAUUUUCUCACAUAUUCAAUAAAACACUUGUGAACUUUUCUCUUUUAUUCAGCCAACACAUGGUGGCUUUUUUUCAGACAAGCAAUAUAGCAUGUCUUGGGUAGCAAGUGAAGAAAUAUAGUCUUCUUUAUACAUAUUAUAUACUCUAUUUACCAGUUCUUUUCCAUGUUAUUAUAGCAACAAGUAAAGUACACUUAUCAGAGGAAGCGCCUGAAAACUGCUUUCAGAAGUUAACAGUUUCAAUGUAUUUUAUAGAUGACAUCUCUUAAUUCAUGCUUCAUAAUUAGUGGAAAAUCAAGCUGAAUUUGGAGUACAGCAACAUGAUGAGAUUAUGUCAAAUUUAUACAAACAACACGUAUGAUUGUUCAGAACACUGCAACAAUGACAGCGUGUAGGUAAGAGUGAGCACAAACAAGAUAGAACUGACAUGUCCACUAUUCCAUGCUACACUGUUGCUACCAUGAAAGAUAGACCUGUUCUCAUUGACCACCUUUAAUGAGAACACUCAUUCAUGCAUUCAUACAUACAUAUUGUGCAUACAGUACAGACAUACAUACAUGCACACAGUUUUGUUUCUAGUUUACAUUAAUGAUACAGUUAAAGCUUGUUUGCAAAUUGUCAAAAUAAUGAUGAGAGUUGAGGAGGAAGAGGACUGUAAAGAGAUAUAAAGGGAUUUGAAGAAAAUUGAGUAAGAGUCAUGAAUAAGAUAUGGAAUUCAAAGAAGUGUAAAAUGUAAAAGUAAAAAAAAAAAAAAAAAUAAAGGCUAAGAAGUGGACUCAUUAUGGAGGCCAGUAACAAGACCCACAACUACAGAAAUACAAGUAUGACAGUUGGUGUUGCAUGGAUGAUUAAAUGAUAAAAAGAAAAAAAAAA